UGUCUAUAUUCCUGUAAGCCACUUUGGAUAAAAGUGUCUGCUAAAUGGCAUACG
rfam:Salmo salar isolate Sally breed double haploid chromosome ssa25, whole genome shotgun sequence.